UGUGGUCAAUGUUAGAGGAAGUUUCAUGAAAUGAAGAGAAGGUAUAUCCUUUGUGUUUCUGUAGAAAGUUUUGUAAUUUUCAGAUAGCUGUAGUUCCUGCUAUGGUAUUAUAGCUGAGCUCAGGUGGUGAUAUAUUGCCUGACUGUUCUUGAAUCUGUUUCUAAGCUGGGAUCUAAGCAUCAUUUGGUGUGAUUAUAGGUAUAAGUGCUGAUUUGAUGUGUGGGAGUUUUGUUCUUGGGGUUCUGUUAGUGCUCUCAAGUUUCAGAAAGUUUGUUGGCGGAAUGUUGUUUAUUUAAUGGCCUGCUUGGCUAGUUUGUUCAUGGUGUUAAGGUUGCUGGGAUGGUAUGGAGUGGAUGGUGCCAUAUUGUUCAGUUGAAACACUAGUGAAGAUCCUGAGAAUUGGGCAUGCUGUAAGAAAUAUAGUGGGGAAGAUGCCCAGUAUACCACCUUAGUCUCCAUGCAAACAUGGCCUAGAGUUGAGUUGAGUACUUUCAGUUGGGAUCCCGGACGCAGAACAGAAAGUGGGAGUGUGUAAUCCACAGGAGACUUGGACACAGGAAAAGGGAAGUUGCCAUUGCUGUUCUUUUGGAGUGCUAGGGGCAACCGUAAGAACUGGGUCUUCAGUAACAGAGAGUGGAAAAUGUUCACAGAAACAAGUAGGAGAAUAUCAUUGAACAUUUAUUUCUUCUAUGUGUGAUUCUUUGGAGGAAGGUAUAAAAGGUUUUGUAGGAGGAAUCUGUCCAUAUUCCUUACUGGGGAUUGGAUUUGAGUGUCUGUGAUCACAAACCAUUUCCUUUUGUUUCUGUCUACUGUGUUGUGAUUGAAACCGAUCAGUCUGUUUCCUUCUCAUGCUCAUGUGGGCUUCAUCAUUAUCCAAUCUAUCUCUAAAUCACAAGAAGGAGUCAAAGAAAUUGCUAUUCAUUGCUAAGCUAUUUUGGUAUCCUGAGGUUUUACAUUUUUAAUUUUGUUGUUUUUCAAGACCAAGGCUUAUGUGUAGAUUUGACUGUCCUGGAUGUAGGUAUGCAAUCCAGCCAGGCCUCAAACUUAGAGAUCCACCUCACUCUGGCUCCAGAGGACUGGGAUUCAUUGUGGCCCAAUAUGCCUAGCAGUUUUUGUUUUCAUAUGUUUGCUGAUGAGUGUGGUAUGUAGGUUUUUGUACAUGUCAAGCAUAUGCUACUAUGCUGAUCUUCAUCCAUAUCCACACUUGAAUUUUGAUAUUUGGUAGAGAGUAUAUUCUGUUUCUCAGGAUGUUUUGUAUUCAUAACAUUACUACUGCGUGAGUCUUCUGAGUCAUUGGAUUUCAGGCAAGUCAGGUUCUACCUGCUUCUUUUUUUUUAAGUGAUUGAAUAUUACUAAUAUUUUUUUGCUGUAUGUGUGACUAUGCAACUCUUGUGUACCUGGUCCUCACAAUAGUCAGCAGCUGACUGGCCUCAGAACUUCAGAAUUUAAAGUAAUGGGGAGUUGUGAGCCUCCAUGUAAGCACUGGCAAUUGAGCCCAGUUAUUGGCAAGACCAACAAGAGCUUUUCAUUGCUGAGCCCCGCAACUGCCUUAUGUUGAUCAUUUAUGACCAACAAUUCCAGUACUAAUUUUUUCAUCUGUCCAUUUGUACCUGUUUGAACAUGCAUUCCCUUUUAGUUAACUUUCAUUAACAUUACAGUUUAAGCUGGGACACUUCAGGUUUCUGGAAGAUAGAUACAGAAAUGUUGUGAAUAUAUAAUUCUUUGUAGGAACUUCAGAAAUACCAUGGAGUUCUUUGUAUCUUGCUUAUCUUUCUUAUUUGAAUGAUUGUGGUGGACUCAGGUCUUAAAUGUACCUCUGGAUGUCAUGAAACUUGUUUCAGAGGCUACGCUGGCCUCUGACUCAAUAAGAUACACAUACCUCUGCCUCUUGAGUGCCUGAAUUAAAGUCUUGAACCAGUUCAUCGUGCUUGCUUCUAAAUUUUGUAGUUAGUAAUUGUGCAUGCAGAUCUGUGUUCUGUACUUUUCAUCUACUUGCUUGUCUUGCUUUCUUUUAUGUCUGUUACUUUUCAUUUCUCUUGAAAUACUGCAUUCCAUUUAAAGGUUGCAGAAAUGAGGUGAACCUCCUCAUUUAGUUUCCUUCUAAAAUGACUUGAUGAGUAUAUCGAAACUUCUGGUUCAGGAAAUGUCAGGGAAUCACCAAAAUUAUAUGAAUAUAUUGUCAAUGAAGAAUGCAUUUACACUGUUGUCACCAUUGUGCUUUCUGCUAUCCUCAUUUAUGGGAUCAUUUAGAAUUCAAUUACCUAUGCUGAUGUGAAUGUGAACUUCACUCGGGAAGAAUGGGCCUUGCUGAAUCCUUCCCAGAAGUGUCUCUACAAAGAUGUGAUGAUAGAGACCUGCAAGCACCUUACAGCUAUAGGCUACAAUUGGGAAGAGCAUAAUACUGAAGAACAUUAUCGACUAUCUACUAGAUAUGGAAGGUACACAUUCAUUUAGGAGCCCUGAGUGGUGAAGACUCCAGAUGUUGUAGAGAUUGUUGUCAGGGGAUCCUGAGAUUCAAACAGAUGUCAAUAGAAGGCUGGAGAAAUCAGGCAUUUACAGAGACCUGUGGAGCCUGGAGGAACUGGAAGGGAAGAAGAUUUGGAUGUUAAAGAAAGGAUUAAAGUCCCAGCAAUUAAUUAAAGCAAUUAAAUCUUAGGUUGUACCUGAGGACAAGCAGCCUUCUAUUGUAUUCUCUGUAUCUACUCAGCUGUGUUGGGUCAAUUCUCCAGUCCUUUUCUUCUCAGAUAGGUUUACAUGUCAGUCAGAAUACCAUGCAUGCUGCCACUUAGUCGUCUAGAAUUGCACUUCAAAUUUCCUUAGUCCCAACUCUGUCAUCUGUGUAACAUC